rnacentral:rRNA from 1 species
UACGUAGGGUGCGGGCGUUAAUCGGAAUUACUGGGCGUAAAGCGUGCGCAGGCGGUUUUGUAAGACAGAUGUGAAAUCCCCGGGCUCAACCUGGGAACUGCAUUUGUGACUGUAGAGCUGGAGUGCGGCAGAGGGGGAUGGAAUUCCGCGUGUAGCAGUGAAAUGCGUAGAUAUGCGGAGGAACACCGAUGGCGAAGGCAAUCCCCUGGGCCUGCACUGACGCUCAUGCACGAAAGCGUGGGGAGCAAACAGG